GUGAAUCAUCAAAUUUUUGAACGCAUAUUGCACUCUCUGGUAUUCCGGAGAGUAUGCCUGUUUGAGGGUAAUUAAAAAGAAUCUUUAACCAAUUUUUUUUGGUUAAAGGAAAUGAGUUCUCCGCGUUUAUAGCGGUAGCUUGAAAUAAAUGGUAGACUCAUUUUAUACUAGACGCGUAUUAAAAUUAUUUUUCGAGAUCUUCA
rnacentral:misc_RNA from 1 species